rnacentral:rRNA from 1 species
AGUGAACGCUGGCGGUAGGCCUAACACAUGCAAGUCGAACGGCAGCACAGGAGAGCUUGCUCCCUGGGUGGCGAGUGGCGGACGGGUGAGGAAUACAUCGGAAUCUACUUUUUCGUGGGGGAUAACGUAGGGAAACUUACGCUAAUACCGCAUACGUCCUACGGGGGAAAGCAGGGGAUCUUCGGACCUUGCGCGAUCGAAUGAGCCGAUGUCGGAUUAGCUAGUUGGCGGGGUAAAGGCCCACCAAGGCGACGAUCCGUAGCUGGUCUGAGAGGAUGAUCAGCCACACUGGAACUGAGACACGGUCCAGACUCCUACGGGAGGCAGCAGUGGGGAAUAUUGGACAAUGGGCGCAAGCCUGAUCCAGCCAUACCGCGUGGGUGAAGAAGGCCUUCGGGUUGUAAAGCCCUUUUGUUGGGAAAGAAAUCCAGCUGGUUAAUACCCGGUUGGGAUGACGGUACCCAAAGAAUAAGCACCGGCUAACUUCGUGCCAGCCGCCGCCGUAA